rnacentral:lncRNA from 1 species
CUUAUAUAGCUUAAACACCAAGAAAAUAUACAUAAUUUCUCCUCUUCUAUACUUCCGCUUUCUCCUCUUUUACAGGUUCUACGUAUCUCUGGGAAUCUCAAAAGUUUUUAGAGGCAGCCAACUUCAGUCUCGUAGUUGUUGAGGACCAUGCAGUUUGAUUUUUCUUUUGUGUUCAGUAAUCAUGCUGCAGUUCUUCUGAAUAUUGUUAAUAGUCAAUCCAUUUAUAGGUUGCUGUACUUGGCUGAGAGCAGUGCUUUGUCUGAUCAUAUAUAGUUUGGCAACUUUGUCCAAAAGUUGGGUUUUGUUUGAACAUUUUUGCUUACAGAAUUGCUAAUAGAAACUUUACCACAUUCUCA